rnacentral:rRNA from 1 species
GACGAACGCUGGCGGCGUGCUUAACACAUGCAAGUCGAACGAAGUGGCGAACGGGUGAGUAACGCGUAAUCAACCUGCCCUUCAGAGGGGAACAACAGUUGGAAACGACUGCUAAUACCGCAUACUGAAGGAGGGGAUUGCGUCUGAUUAGCUAGUGGGGGGGGUAACGGCCCACCAAGGCGAUGAUCAGUAGCCGGGCUGAGAGGAGGAACGGCCACAUGGGGACUGGGACACGGCCCAGACUCCUACGGGAGGCAGCAGUGGGGAAUCUUCCGCAAUGGACGAAAGUCUGACGGAGCAACGCCGUGUGAGUGAAUGCGGCAAUUGGGGUGUAAAGCUCUGUUUGUCAGGACGCGGUACAGGAAUAGAAAGCCACGGCAAAAUACGUGCCAGCAGCCGCGGUAAUUC